rnacentral:SRP_RNA from 2 species
GCCAGGCGUGGUGGCUCACGCCUGUAAUCCUAGCAUUUUGGGAGGCCGAGGCAGGUGGAUCACUUGAGGUCAGGAGUUCAAAACUAGCCUGGCCAACAUGGUGAAACCCUGUCUCUG